UACGAAGGUCCCGAGCGUUAUCCGGAUUUAUUGGGUUUAAAGGGUGCGUAGGUGGGCAGGUAAGUCAGUGGUGAAAUCCCCGAGCUUAACUUGGGAACUGCCAUUGAUACUAUUUGUCUUGAAUACUGUGGAGGUUAGCGGAAUAUGUCAUGUAGCGGUGAAAUGCUUAGAUAUGACAUAGAACGUCAAUUGCGAAGGCAGCUGGCUACACAAAUAUUGACACUGAUGCACGAAAGCGUGGGGAUCAAACAGG
rnacentral:rRNA from 1 species